UUUUUUAAAGAUUUUUUAUUUAUUAUUAUAGUAAGUACACUGUAGCUAUCUUCAGACACACCAGAAGAGGGAGUCAGAUCUUGUUACAGAUGGUUGUGAGCCACCAUGUGGUUGCUGGGAUUUGAACUCUGGACCUUCGGAAGAGCAGUCGGGUGCUCUUACCCACUGAGCCAUCUCACCAGCCUCCGAACUUUUGUUUUCUUAUUUGUAAACUUGCACUACUUGUUUGCCCUUUCUUUUAGUACACUGAGAUCCAGUAUGGAAUGCUCCUAUCCCUCAUCAUAUAGAUGUUUCUUUUUCUUUUUUCUUUUCUUUUUUUUUUUUUGAGACAGGGUUUCUCUGUAUAUCCCUGGCUGUCCUGGAACUCACUUUUUAGACCAGGUUGGCCUUGAACUCAGAAAUCCGCCUGCCUUUGCCUCCCAAGUGCUGGGAUUAAAGGCGUGCGCCACCUUGCCCGACUCAUAGAGAUGUUUCUUAAUUAUUUAUAUCAGAUUUUAUUUGUUUCAAAAUUAACGUGACUAGGUACCAUCUUCUGAUAGAAAAUUGUAGCCUAUGGAUACUUCCUCUUAACUAAAAACUGGAAUCUAGAUUAAUAGAAUUGAAAACUAUCAAACUUGAAAAUAUUUUGCAUCUAUAAAUUUCAUAUAUGACUUUUAUUGCACUUACCAGAAUUUAGUGUAAUAGUUUGUUGACUAUUUAUACAAUAUUGCUAGGUAGCACAGACUAGCCUAGAACUCAUUGUGUUAGUUCAGGGUGACCUUGGAAUUUGGAGGUAGAGGUAGUAUACAAUAACUCCCAAGUGUUAGGAUUUCAGGCAUGACCCCUUUUUUGUGGCAAUUAAAUAAUUGUUAGUUUUUGUGUCUGAGUAACUGGUAUGUAUUGGAUGCCCCAAUUGAAUAUAUGAACACAAUCAAUAGAUGCAAGAGCCUACGUGGAAUUUCAUGCUUAAUUCACUGUCCCUUGCCAUUGAUGUUUCGAAUAAGUCUGUUCAGUUUCUUAAUGAAAUGCUAUAAUGUACUAAGAAACAGUGCUGUUUGACAGUCUGAGCUGUUUUUUCAAGGAACUAAUGACUAUUGAAAUGUGAUAGUUAAUAGAUUAGCAAAUAAAAUAUUUGCUGUGACUAAAGUUAAUAAGCUCUCAUAUCUAACCUUUUAUUGUUCUAACUUUGUUCCAUUAUUUGUGGUUGAAAAUAAAAAUGGGAGGAAAAUAUAUAGGAAGUCAGAAGAGAAUAGUGGAAAUAAUCAUGAGAGAAGGUAAAGUAUAGAAUUAUACUCAGCCACAUUGUUUCUAUGAGAAACAAGAAUAAUACGUUUUGGAUUGACAAGGAUAGGGAACAUAGUGAUAUCUCCAAGGGUACAUAUGUGAGCUUAGUGAUUACUUGGGAUGUAAUUAUUUCGAUGAUUUCUCAAGUCUUUCGAAAUCAAACUGUGCUCAAUUUGUACCAGUCCUGAAUUGUCUUUAUAUUUUUAUUUUCAUACUUUUUGAAAUUAAACUUUCAAGUAGUUUUUAAAGUUGUCUGUACUUAGUGAAAAUUGUAAUUUUUUUCUUUUGAUUUUGAUUUUUGUAUUUUAAAACAGGGUUCUGCAAGGUAGCUCAGGUUGGCUCUUAAGUCCCCGUGCUUCAGCCUCCCAUAUGCUUGCUACCAGAUUAAAAUUUUUAAAUUGUUAAUAAAGAUUUCUUAAUUGGCUAUUCAGACAAUAUUGAAAUUUCCCCUCUACCUUACAUAGAGGUAUUAAAUUUAUUGAAGUCAGGAUCCAAAUAAGAUUUGUACCUGCAACAGUUUAUUAUUGAUUGUUUGAUAUAUCCCUUAAGUUCAUUUAUAAGUUCCUCAGCUGCUAUUCAGCCAAGAAGUACUUUGCUUCAUAAAUAUUAAAUGAUAGAUAAGUAAUGCCUUACUUCAUCAAUAUUUGAAUCUAUGUAUUUUGAUGUAACUUUAAAUAUGUACUUAGUGGGUAAAAUUGCUUGCUGUCAAACCUGACAACUUUGAUCUCCAGAACCCACUUUAGAAGGAGGUAACACACUUCCCCAAGUUGUCCUUAGAUCUCUCUACUAAUGCUUAACGACACCCACACCCUCCAAUCUUCAAAUGAAUAAAAAUGUGUUUUAAAAUUACUCAGGAACUGCUAGAUGUCACUUUAGGAACUACUGAGAAAGGUAGAAAUAUACAAUUGUUUCCAACACAGUGCUUUCAGGAGCUAUACCUAACUCCUUAGUCAAAGUUUAAUAAAAGAAUACCUAUCUGUUGAAAACAUUUCAUUUACUUACCUAAGUGUUGAGUGCCUGUUGCAUGCCAGGAGUUGGAAUUUUAAUUAAUAGUCACAGAAUAUUUGUGAGGGUUUUAAAAUUUUAUGCAUAUGAAUGCCUGAAUGUAUGUUUGUGAUCUAUGUGUAUACAGUGCCUGUGGGGGGCCAGAAAAGAGCAUUGGGUCCCAGGUUCUGAGCCACCAUUUGGGUGCUGGGGACCAAACCUCGGUCCUCAGUAAGAGCAGUGAGGGCUCUUAUUUGUUGAGCCAUCUUUAAGUAUUUUUUAAAAAUUUCCAUUUCAGGCCGGGCGUGGUGGCACACGCCUUUAAUCUCAGCACUGGGGAGGCAGAGGCAGGCAGAUUUCUUGAGUUUGAGGCCAGCCUGGUCUACAAAGUGAGUUCCAGGACAGCCAGGGCUACACAGAGAAACCCUGUCUCAAAAACAAAAAC
rnacentral:lncRNA from 1 species